UCCAGACUCCUACGGGAGGCAGCAGUCGGGAAUAUUGCGCAAUGGAGGAAACUCUGACGCAGUGACGCCGCGUGCAGGAAGAAGGUUUUCGGAUUGUAAACUGCUUUAGACAGGGAAGAUACAAGACAGUACCUGUAAAAUAAGCUCCGGCUAACUACGUGCCAGCAGCCGCGGUAAUACGUAGGGAGCAAGCGUUAUCCGGAUUUAUUGGGUGUAAAGGGUGCGUAGACGGGAAGGCAAGUUGGUUGUGAAAUCCCUCGGCUUAACUGAGGAACCGCAACCAAAACUAUCUUUCUUGAGUGCUGGAGAGGAAAGUGGAAUUCCUAGUGUAGCGGUGAAAUGCGUAGAUAUUAGGAGGAACACCAGUGGCGAAGGCGACUUUCUGGACAGUAACUGACGUUGAGGCUCGAAAGCGUGGGGAGCAAACAGGAUUAGAUACCCUAGUA
rnacentral:rRNA from 1 species